rnacentral:rRNA from 1 species
UACGUAGGCAGCAAGCGUUGUUCGGAUUUAUUGGGCGUAAAGGGCUCGUAGGCGGCGUGUCGCGUCGGGAGUGAAAGCCCGCUGCUUAACGGCGGGUUGGCUUCCGGUACGGGCAGGCUAGAGUUCGGCAGGGGAGACUGGAAUUCCUGGUGUAGCGGUGAAAUGCGCAGAUAUCAGGAGGAACACCGGUGGCGAAGGCGGGUCUCUGGGCCGAUACUGACACUGAGGAGCGAAAGCGUGGGGAGCGAACAGG